UGGUGCCUUCAGGUUCUUGUCGAAGUCAGUGGUGCCUUCAGGUUCUUGUCGAAGUCAGUGGUGCCUUCAGGUUCUUGUCGAAGUCAGUGGUGCCUUCAGGUUCUUGUCGAAGUCAGUGGUGCCUUCAGGUUCUUGUCGAAGUCAGUGGUGCCUUCAGGUUCUUGUCGAAGUCAGUGGUGCCUUCAGGUUCUUGUCGAAGUCAGUGGUGCCUUCAGCCUCUUGUCGAGGUCAGUGGUGCCUUCAGCCUCUUGUCGAGGUCAGUGGUGCCUUCAGCCUCUUGUCGAGGUCAGUGGUGCCUUCAGCCUCUUGUCGAAGUCAGUGGUGCCUUCAGCCUCUUGUCGAAGUCAGUGGUGCCUUCAGGUUCUUGUCGAAGUCAGUGGUGCCUUCAGGUUCUUGUCGAAGUCAGUGGUGCCUUCAGGUUCUUGUCGAAGUCAGUGGUGCCUUCAGGUUCUUGUCGAAGUCAGUGGUGCCUUCAGGUUCUUGUCGAAGUCAGUGGUGCCUUCAGGUUCUUGUCGAAGUCAGUGGUGCCUUCAGGUUCUUGUCGAAGUCAGUGGUGCCUUCAGGUUCUUGUCGAAGUCAGUGGUGCCUUCAGGUUCUUGUCGAAGUCAGUGGUGCCUUCAGGUUCUUGUCGAAGUCAGUGGUGCCUUCAGGUUCUUGUCGAAGUCAGUGGUGCCUUCAGGUUCUUGUCGAAGUCAGUGGUGCCUUCAGCCUCUUGUCGAAGUCAGUGGUGCCUUCAGGUUCUUGUCGAAGACAGUGGUGCCUUCAGGUUCUUGUCGAAGUCAGUGGUGCCUUCAGGUUCUUGUCGAAGUCAGUGGUGCCUUCAGCCUCUUGUCGAAGUCAGUGGUGCCUUCAGCCUCUUGUCGAAGUCAGUGGUGCCUUCAGCCUUUUGUCGAAGUCA